GAUUGAGAACAACAAUUGACUUAUUUUGGAACUGUGUAAGUGGGCUCGAAGUGAAUCGGAAGUGCCAAGUGUCACGCCCCGCCCCGAAACCACUACCAAUUUGGCACGGUUCGGUCGCGGCGACAGACCGCCGAACGGACAGCACCUCCCCUGUCCACCCAAGGCUCAACAACAGGAAUGUGUACAAGGAUUUACCCAGGACUUUAAAUUCUAAACAUACACAUUCAACGAGGGCACAAACAGUGCCAACAACGAGAAGAGCAAGUAAUCCACAAGAUAUAGUAUGUGAAAUAAAGAGAGUACUUUACUAACUAUUACAAUAGUUACAUUCUUUACAUUUACAUCAUUCUCCAAAAUGAAUACAUUUGAUCCUCAAAAUACAUAGCUCUCCAACCUCACCAUCAUGAAUCUCUCUCAAUACAUAGGUGUGCUAAUGCAAAAAGGGAAGCUACUAUACUACCACGGUCUCACUGAUCGGGCGCGAUGCCCUUGCCGCGGUCCUCUCUCGGCAACCCUGUACCUACCACUGGAAAUGGGAUGGGGUGAGAACUAUAUUCCAUAGAUUCCCAGUGGUCGGCCGCCGACUCUGCUGAUUCUCCCACUAGUGUCAAGUUGGGCAUCAGAGCAACAAACAGGUAGAUAGAUAGAUAGAUAUCUGAAAGUUUGUAAUAUGCAAGUUAGUAGCGAAAACUAUGCUUACAUAUGCCCAUAAUCAUGUAAUGUGGAUGCACUGCAUCUAAUAAAUAAGUUUUUACCAGGGCUAACAGAUGUCAUAUCCAUGUUCGAAUAGCUUAGUGUUCAAUGACAUUUAUUAACAACCUUAACUCUUUAUUUACCCAAUCUGUGGCGAGGCCUUAGGGCUGGCCAAUUACUCAGUCUUCAAAUCCCAAAGUGUGGGAAGUGGAGCUCCAAGUGACACCAGCCCGGGACCGUCUGGGGACUCAUUGGUCCGGACCUCCAAGUGGUCCUAGUUCGCGGUGACACUCGCGGACACUCGACGACAAUCCCUCCUAUGUGGGGAAUUGGAUGGCUAUACACCCUAACGCGACUGUGAGCCUAAUCUAUCCUCGAGUGAGGGAUACACUUGACAACUAGGUCAACACCAAGUCGCAGAUCUCUCAAGUAAUGGAGGCUCUACAACAGCUAGCGCUCACAUAAUCCAACUCGAAUCCUCUCCAAGUGAGGAAGCACUCUAUAACUAGAGUCAACAUCUCUCGCGGGAUCAUUUGUUCCCGACAUCCAUGCAAUGCUAUUUAGUUUUCUAAAUUCAUUGUUCACAAGGCAUUUUCUAAGGGAUCCACCUAUCCCUAGGUCCAUCGACCUCUAGUGUCAUUUACACUACAUUAAUGCCACUCGUCAUCAUUUAACAUUUGGAUGCCACUCGUGUGUUCUUUAACACUAAACACUACUUUCUAUGUCAUCAAUACCCCCAUCGGGUUCACCUCUUUUCUUUUACAUCAUAGGAUCCACGUUCCGACCCAAUCCUCACCUAUCUAAGUUACCAAGCGUUCCAAGUACACUAGGUUAUCAUUUAGAAAGCAUAAGGAAUGGAGCUACUAUGCAAUCCUACAAUGCAACAUGAAGAGAUGAGAUCAAAUGCAAUCUAAGACAUAGAAAGGAGUUCGAAAGCUUCGGGAUGACACCCCCCACCUUUUACCAACGUAGAGGUUUUAGAAGCGCUCCUCGACGAGCUUUACGAAAAGGCUUUUGCCUUCCCUAAUCCAAGAUAGCGCCGAAACGACCGUAAUUCGCCGAUUGUUCUAAGUCCGCUCGACGAAUCGCGAAAUCGACUUCGCCCCCGCGUUUGGGCACCUAUCGAUGAGGUUUACAAGGCCUCAAAUGAGAUCAAUCUCAUACUUUACAAAAUGCCCCCAUUUGGAGCCCUAGGUUUGCACAUAUAGCAAACCACCAAUAAAAUCCUAGAUUCUUGGGAUUGAUCUACUUAGAAGCAUGCUUGGGGUCCAUUUGACCCAUUCCAAAGCAUAAAAACCCAAAGCCCUAAGUUUACAAAGUAGGGUUUAGUAGCUUACCUCAAGAGCUACACCAAUGGGAAGAGGAGAGGGAGAUGGAGGUGCUCCAAGCCUUCCUCUUGAUCUCCUUCUUUUUCUCCUUCCUUAUCUUCUUCCUCUUUUCCUUCCUCUCCUUCUUGUUCUCCUUCUCCUUCUUUCCUUUCUAGAGAGAGAGGGAGAGAAAUAGAGAGAUGAGAGUGAGAGAGAGGAAUGAGAGAGUGUGAGGGAGAGAGAGGGCCCAGCCCACUCUAAUAAAGGCCAUUUUGCAUUUAGACCCCUCAACUUUUAACCCCUUGCGCAGCCCUCGCUGGGCAGUUUUCGUGCAGAGGGACCGGUCUCCCCGACUUGGGACCGGUCCCCGAGAGCUUCCCUCGGGCGCACGCGUUCGGGUACCGGUCUCUCCCCGGGAGACCGGUCCUCGGGAGACAGGUCCUCGCCUGAGAGACCGGUCCCCGAGAGCUCAAUUUUCAGGACUUAGCCAAAUCUCGGCAUUUCUCGCUGGAACCACGUUCGGGAACCGGUCCCUCACUGCCAGGGACCGGUUGCACCAUGCAACCCCGCACGCCCAGCCGAUGGGACCGGUCUCUCACCUCCAGAGACCGGUCCCCGAGAGCAACUUCAGCCCAAUAAUGCUGUUUGCAUCGUUAGCUCUCGUGGACUCAACUCCAAAGCACUUUUUGUGUUUUGGACAUUUUUAACUUCCCCAGAGGGUAUUCUCUCAACAAAUAGUCGAUCCUGGACGAAGUAUAACUCUCGAAUUUCGAGAAUUCACUUCCUUACAUUCUCCCCUCCUUAAAAGGAGUUUCGUCCUCGAAACGAACAAAUUCUUUAACUUUUAAUUUAAACUUAUACCUCACUCCUCAAACAGAUGAGGAUGGUGCUUUCUCAUCAGAUCCUCGAGUUCCCAGGUGGCCUCGCGAUCAUCAUGAUUGCUCCACCUGACCUUUACAUAGGGAAUUUCUCGAUUCCUCAACUUUCGCACCUCUCGGGCGAUAAUUCCUACCGGAAACUCUUCAUAGCUCAAGUCUCCUUGAAGUUCCGGCGGUUCAUAUAGCAUCGCAUGCUCCGGGUCGUGAAUAUACUUGCGGAGAUUGGAGACAUGGAACACAUUGUGCACAUCCGCAAGUUUCGGCGGUAAAGCAAGCCGAUACGCCACCGUACCAACUCGCUCCAAUAUCUCAUAUGGCCCAAUGUACCGGGGACUCAGUUUUCCCCGUACUCCAAACCGCUUCACACCACGCAUUGGUGAAACCUUCAGAAAUACGCGGUAACCCACCGCGAACUCUAUAUCUCGUCGGCGCCUAUCUGCAUAGCUUUGCUACCUCGACUGCGCCGUGAGCAAUCUCUUGCGAGCAAGGCGGACUUUCUCCUCCGCUUCUCGCAACACAUCAGGGCCGAACUCUGCCCGUUCACCUACAUCGCUCCAAUGUAUAGGAGACCGACACGUCCGCCCAUAAAGAGCUUCGAACGGUGCCAUCUCUAUACUCGCAUGAUAACUGUUAUUGUAGGCGAACUCGGCCAUAGGUAGGUGAUCACACCAACUUCCCUUAUAGUCGAUGACACACGCUCGCAACAUAUCCUCCAGAGUUUGAAUGGUUCUCUCUGUUUGCCCAUCGGUUUGAGGAUGAAAUGCGGUACUAAAAUCGAGCCGUGUGCCAAGGGCUUCUUGCAGGCUUUUCCAAAAGUGUGAAGUGAACCGGGGGUCACGAUCCGACACGAUCGAUUUCGGCACCCCAUGCAGUCUCACUAUCUCGUCAAGAUAUACCCGCGCUAACUUGUCACCCGACCACGUGGUGUGGAUCGGCAAGAAGUGAGCCGACUUCGUCAAUCGGUCCACAAUUACCCAAAUUGCAUCGUGGCCGCCCGUUGAGCGAGGCAAGCUGACCACGAAGUCCAUCGAUAUAUCUUCCCAUUUCCAAACGGGGAUUGGUAGGCUUUGAAGCUUUCCCGCUGGAAAUCUACGCUCUGCCUUCACUUGCUGGCAUGUUAAGCACUUCGCCACAAAGCGUCCAACAUCACCCUUCAUUCCCGGCCACCAAUAGUGCAUUUUUAGUCCUUGAUACAUCUUGGUGCCGCCCGGGUGAUCAGCAUACGGAGAUCUGUGUGCUUCUUGUAGAAUCAACUCGCGAAGCUCUCCAUCCUUCGGCACACACCAUCGGUUUCUAAACCGAAGCGCACCAUCGGCGUUUAUACUAAAAUCGCCGCCUCGACCAUCCUCGAUGUUUCGCCGCACCUUCUGGAGUUCUGGGUCCGCAGGUUGCAGAUCUUUAAUCCUCUCCAACAAGGUCGGUUGGACAACGAGUGCCAUCAACUGGGCUGGAAUCUCGGGAGGAACCACUUCAAGGUCCAAUCGCUUCAUAUCCAGCCACAGGGGUGUUUGCUGGGUAACAUCAAAAGCGAGAUUCUUCGCCGACUUUCUACUCAGCGCAUCCGCAACCACAUUUGCCUUCCCGGGGUGGUAGAGGAUAUCGACAUCAUAAUCCUUUAACAACUCCAACCACCGCCGCUGACGCAUAUUGAGCUCCUUCUGAGUAAACAAGUACCUUAAGCUCUUGUGGUCGGUAUAAAUCUCACAAUGGGCACCAUAUAAGUAGUGCCUCCACAGCUUCAGGGCGAAAAUUACCGCCGCCAGCUCCAAGUCGUGGAUGGGGUAAUUCUUCUCAUAGCUCUUCAGCUGACGGGAUGCAUAAGCAAUCACCUUCCUGUUUUGCAUCAAUACACACCCCAACCCAAGAUAGGAAGCAUCACUGUAGACUACGAAGUCUUCGCCUUCCACCGGUAGAGCGAGCACCGGAGUUGAAGUCAAUCUUUGCUUCAACUCUUUGAAACUUCGGUCGCACUCCUCGCUCCAAACAAACUUGGUGCCUUUCUGGGUCAGGCGGGUAAGUGGAAUUACUAUCUUGGAGAAGCCUUCCACAAACCGCCUAUAAUAGCCCGCCAAGCCCACGAAGCUUCGAACCUCCGUGACGUUCGUCGGGCGCGGCCAAUCCUUGAUUGCCUCAACUUUCCUCGGGUCUACUGAAACUCCACCCGCGGAAAUCACAUGCCCUAAGAAGGCGACUUCGCGAAGCCAGAAGUCACACUUCUUUAGCUUAGCAUAUAGCUUCUCCUCCCGAAGGACUUGAAGCAGUUUCCUCAAAUGUUCGGCAUGUUCCUCGUCACUUCGAGAAUAGACCAAUAUGUCGUCUAUAAAGACCACGACAAAUUGGUCCAGAUACUCUCUGAAGACACGGUUCAUCAAAUCCAUAAACGCCGCUGGAGCAUUCGUGAGUCCAAAUGGCAUAACCGUGAACUCGUAGUGUCCAUACCGCGUACGAAACGCGGUCCUUUGCACAUCCUCCGGUUUGAUCUUCAAUUGAUGGUAGCCGGAUUACAAGUCUAUUUUCGAGUACACACACGACCCUUGCAACUGAUCGAACAGGUCAUCGAUUCAGGGUAGUGGGUACUUGUUCUUGAUCGUGACUCUAUUCAAUUCUCGAUAAUCCACGCAGAGCCUAAACGAUCCAUCCUUCUUCCUCACGAAUAACACCGGGGCUCCCCACGGUGAUACACUCGGCCGGAUAAAUUGCUUGUCAAGGAGGUCUUGUAGUUGACUCCUCAACUCCCUUAGUUCCGCCGGCGCCAUUCGGUACGGAGCCUUCGAGAUCGGCGCGGUACCGGGAACCAAGUCUAUGACGAACUCGAUCUCCCGAUCCGGUGGUAUCCCCAGCAACUCUGCGGGAAACACAUCCGGGAACUCCCGCACUACCGAGAUCUCCUCCAACAUUGGAGUGACUCGUUCCACCUCUACAACGGUCGCCAAGAACGCUGCACAACCGUUGCUCACCAACUUUCUUGCUCUCGUCGCCGACACCGUCGCGACGAAACACGUGCUCUGGCAAGCUCGAUAGGUGAAUUCUUUCUGUCCUGGCCCACGAAACGUGAUCACCCUGCUCUUGCAGUCAAUCGUGGCGUGGUAUUUCGAGAGCCAGUCCAUACCCAGAAUAACAUCAUAAGCCUCAAGCUUCUGGAGUCCUAGUGUCCGAAUAGGCAUUAUCCAUUCGCCUAUUUGUACCGGACACGAGGCGCACUCUGUGUAGGUAUUGAAUGUCGAUCCAGGGCCCUCCACUCGCCACUUGUCACUCGCUUCUAUAUGUAUGCCAUGCAUGCGUGCGAAUGAUCUACUUAUGAAUGAAUGCGUGGCUCCUGUAUCAAAUAGAGCCCUGGAGCGAACUCCGUUAAUCAAAACCAUACCUGCCACAAGGCGAUGCUCCUCCGCCUCCGCAGGUUCCUCGGCCUGAACCUGAGCUGCAAAUACCCGUCCGCUCGGGGCCGAUCGCGCCAUCUCAGGUUGACGCGGUGUCAUCGCGCGUCCUGUCGACGCGGCCGUCGGUGGAGCUCCUCCAUAAUAUGCCGGAAUCGCCGGCGCCGAUGCAAUCGAUGGGGCAGGUGAGGCUCCUCCUCCCGGGCAGUCCCGAAUGAAGUGCCCCGGUUGCCCACACUUGUAGCACUUGCCCCGGCCUUGUUCACAGCGCGAAACUGGGUGGUCUCCGCAGCAUACAAUGCAUCGCCGCGCUCCACCGUUUUUCUGUUGAGCGCGCGGGUACUUCGGGGGUCUCUUAUAACGUGCUUGACCACCCGAACUACCGCCGCCUUGGCGUUUCUUGCCCUUAUCCUUGGACUCCGCCAAAAGCUCACGCUUCUCCCGCACGUGGGCAUCUCCGUGCUCCGCCCAUAGGGCUCGAUCAAAGACCUCAGCAAAGGUCGUGAGCUUGAGUAUUUGCACGGCCUUGUAGAUUCCCGGCCGAAGUCCUCGCAAGAACCACUCGGCCCGGUCCCGGUCAUCCUUUACAACAUCCGGGACACAAUCUAUGAUGUGGGAGAAUUCCUGUUCAUACUCCGCCACUGGGCGGUCCCCUUGCUCUAGCUUGCCGAACUUCUCCUUGAGCUUCCGCUUCAAUGUAUCGGGGAAGUAGUUGGCGAACAUCUCCCGCUUGAAUUCCUCCCACAGCAUCGGCGGAAGGCCGGGAAGCCGAUCCCACUUGACGCGCUUCCACCAAACCUUUGCCGCCCUUUCCAAGCAAUGGGUGGCGAGAUACACCUUGUCCCUCUCCAAGGUACGCAAGUCGUCGAAGAGGGUUUCCAUCGAGUCGAUCCAAGACUCGACCAUUGCCGGUUCCACCUUCUCACCCUCAAAGGUCGGCGGAUGGAACUUGUUGAACUUGAUAAGAGCCGCUAGCGCACGCUCUCCUUCCACGUCUUCGGCCGUCACGUCGGGUGUAGUCGAUCCCGACGCCGCCGGUGGCACGAUCGCCGGCGGGGGACGCGCCGCCACCGGGACCGCCGCUAUGCCCUCACCCUCAGCUGGCUCAGGUACACGAGCCGAGGGCGCGGGCACAUCGCGUCCGUCCGUCGCCGUUGCGGCCGCUGCCGCUGCCUGCCGCUCCAAGAGCUCCUGGAGCCGCUCGAAUCGGUUCUCCUGGCGCUGCACCACAUCGGUCAGCGCGGACACUUGCGCUUGCAACCGAUCCAUCACGCUCGGUUCUCCCUGCUCGGGCACCUCAGGAGUCGGUGCCGGAGUAGAUCUACGUGUGUAGCGUCUUGGAGACAUUAGUCCCUGAAACGCAAAUACUCGGUUAAUCAUCUUAACCCGUUAACCUCGUCGCAAUUACGACACAUGACAACUUAAUGGCAAAAUCGGGCGGAAGCAUACAAGUGUACUCGUUCUAGGCUCUUGGCAUCAUGUCGUCGGCCGCCGACACAACCACCUCAAGAUAAGAACUUAUACCACUUGAAUUCGUCUCUAAUCACAACUAGAGACCUAUACCCACUUCGACCCAAUCGAAUUGACUUCCGCCAUCGUUAUAGGUUCACGUUCCGCUCACGCACCUAUAACCUUAGGGCUCACCAACCUAGGGUCUCCUAGGUCAUCCUAGACUUUCUCUCUUUACUUGCUCUCAUUGCUCUGAUACCACAAAAGACUGUCACGCCCCGCCCCGAAGCCACUACCAAUUUGUCACGGUUCGGUCGCGGCGACAGACCGCCGAACGGACAGCACCUCCCCUAUCCGCCCAAGGCUCAACAACAGGAAUGUGUACAAGAAUUUACCCAGGACUUUAAAUUCUAAACAUACACAUUCAACGAGGGCACAAACAGUGCCAACAACGAGAAGAGCAAGUAAUCCACAAGAUAUACGAGUGAAAUAAAGAGAG
rnacentral:lncRNA from 1 species